rnacentral:rRNA from 1 species
UACGUAGGUCCCGAGCGUUGUCCGGAUUUAUUGGGCGUAAAGCGAGCGCAGGUGGUUUAUUAAGUCUGGUGUAAAAGGCAGUGGCUCAACCAUUGUAUGCAUUGGAAACUGGUAGACUUGAGUGCAGGAGAGGAGAGUGGAAUUCCAUGUGUAGCGGUGAAAUGCGUAGAUAUAUGGAGGAACACCGGUGGCGAAGGCGGCCUGCUGGGCUUUUACUGACACUGAGGCUCGAAAGUGUGGGGAGCAAACAGG